rfam:Firmicutes bacterium CAG:227 genomic scaffold, scf303
GAUGUAGAUAGAGGUUGCAUUUUUCAUGAGUAGAUGGUUGGAUGUUCAGGAGCAGAUGAAGGCUUUUGAAAGGGAAAGAUGCCGAAAAAAUACAAGACCUGAGCUUGUGUUUUUGGGCAUGUCAUUAAGAGUGGCAUGACUGUCAUCGCAGGAUGGAGUGCUAUCUGAUAG